AACGAACGCUGGCGGCAGGCUUAACACAUGCAAGUCGAACGCACCGCAAGGUGAGUGGCAGACGGGUGAGUAACACGUGGGGAUCUGCCCAAUGGUACGGAAUAGCUCCGGGAAACUGGAAUUAAUACCGUAUGUGCCCUUCGGGGGAAAGAUUUAUCGCCAUUGGAUGAACCCGCGUCGGAUUAGCUAGUUGGUGAGGUAAAGGCUCACCAAGGCGACGAUCCGUAGCUGGUCUGAGAGGAUGAUCAGCCACACUGGGACUGAGACACGGCCCAGACUCCUACGGGAGGCAGCAGUGGGGAAUAUUGGACAAUGGGCGCAAGCCUGAUCCAGCCAUGCCGCGUGAGUGAUGAAGGCCUUAGGGUUGUAAAGCUCUUUCGCCGACGAAGAUAAUGACGGUAGUCGGAGAAGAAGCCCCGGCUAACUUCGUGCCAGCAGCCGCCGUAA
rnacentral:rRNA from 1 species